rnacentral:lncRNA from 1 species
AUCCAGAGGGAACAUUUUGGGAUCAUUUCCUGUGUUUUGGGUAAAAUAGAAGCCCUGGUUAAAUGAAGAGAGAAAUGUAGCCACCAUUUCUGACUCAAGAGGAGGAAACAGGUUUGUCUUCAGUUUAACAGCCCAAGAUAUUCCUGUGUCAAGUUUGCAGUGCUGAUCAAUGGGAGAUUCAUGCUCAUCCAUUAAAGUGAAGUCUAAUCUCCAGCUCUUUCCCUGACAAUGCCUGAGGCCCUAUUUUCUGCUGCUGCUUUUCUGCAGACUCUCAACAUCACCUGGAGCCUGCUGAGAGUGCCACCAAAUGAAGGAGCAGCAAGAACCCACUGGUGGAAGAGCUGAGGUCUAAGCUUGCUGUUUGAGAGAGAGAACUUCAUCUGAGAAACAAAGACACCAAGGCACAGAUUGACAAAACAAGACAGUACACAGAAAAGCUUGGUAAAAGAAAAGUCAUCACAGGUAACAGUGAAGAACAGAACUUACAUCUGUCUAUCUACAUUGUCACAGUUUAACUCAGGUCCACAAUUAA